rnacentral:rRNA from 1 species
GCAAGUCGAGCGAACUUUAAGAGUGCUUGCACACUUAAAGUUAGCGGCGAACGGGUGAGUAACACGUAAAGAACCUACCUUAUAGACAGGGACAACUAUUGGAAACGAUAGCUAAUACCUGAUAAGAAAGAAACUCGCAUGAGAGAAGUUCGAAAGUCGGAGCAAUCUGACACUAUAAGAUGGCUCUGCGGUGCAUUAGCUAGUUGGUAGGGUAAAAGCCUACCAAGGCGACGAUGCAUAGCCGACCUGAGAGGACGAUC